CAUCUCAGCGAUUUCCGAGCUGCAGUGAACGCAACGUGUGAGCUCCAGCCUGCCCCACAAUGCAACACGACUUUAGCAAUAUCCGGCAACAUUAACAGAUGGCAGCGUGAACGAGCUCACGUUCUCUUCUUUAAAUUAACCGAAUGUGUCUAUUUGUCCUCUUAAAAUGAAGGUUAAAGUUCUCUCCUGGAAGCCGGAUGGUUACGUCCGGGAGACCACACUAGAUAUUCAGCGUGAUGAUUUCCCUGUCAGGGAGGGUGAUGUGCUCCAGUGCUUUUAUGUGGUGCAGAAGUUUCUGGGUGAGAGCAGCUAUGGGAAGGUGGCCAGGUGUCGACACAAAGUGACCUAUCAGGACGUGGCCAUCAAAAUUUCAAAGAACAAGCCCAGUAUGAUAAGAGAGACAAAGAAAGAGCUUGCCAAUCUGAAACUCCUGAGUGUCCUGGACCCAGAGAAGGCCAACAUUGUGAGGUGGUACGAUGCCUUCACGCACAGAGACUUCAUUUGUCUCAAGUUUGAACUCCUGCUCCACAGCCUUCAUGAUUAUAUGGAUGAAAUGAAUUUUGAGCCUCUUCGCGUCAGUGACCUCCGAGCUGUCGUGCAGCAAAUGGCCACCGCACUACUCCACCUGCAGACCCUGGGUGUGAUCCACUGCGACAUAAAGCCCCAGAAUAUCAUGGUGGUCGACCACAAUCAGCCACUAAAGGUCAAACUGAUUGACUUUGGAUUGGCUCAGCACAUCUCCGAGCCUCCAUCAUUUGCAGGGACCUUGUGGUACCAAGCUCCAGAGGUCCACUUAGGGUUGGCCUACAGUGAGGAGAUUGAUAUGUGGUCGCUCGGUGUGUCUGUGGCUGAGCUGGCUAUGGGAACCACCCCGUAUCCCGGACAUCAUUCCUAUGAUGUGAUGAAGUUCAUGGUGGACACACAGGGUCUGCCCCCAGAGCACCUCCUCAGGUUGGGACCAUACACCAACCACUGCUUUGAGAGGCGUCGUAUCAAUGGACACUGAAGACUCCUGCACUGAUUCAGAUGCAGACGGGACACAAAUACUGUGACACCAGAGAGGUGGUGUUGACCUGUCUGGAGGACAUCAUGGAGGUGAUGGACACAAACACUACAGAGAAGGAGGGUCAUGAGUUUGUGGACCUUUUAAAAUGCAUGAUGUGCCUUGACAACGAACAGCGGAUCACACCUGCUGAUGUUCUCAAACAUCCCUUCCUGGAAGAGGACAGUCUGGAGACGGAUGUGGCAGAUGAACCUCUUGUCUGGGCCGA